CGCCGGCUGCCCGGAAGAGGGAGCGGGGCGGUUGUUGACAACAUGGCGGCCGCUGGCGCCUCCGCGGGAGGAAGAGGCGGAGGGAUAGGCGGCGGCGGGCGGAGGAAGGAGUCUCAUUCAUAGGGAGCCCGGCUCGCUGCCCUCACCCCCUCCCUCCCCUUCUUCCCCCCUCCCCAGCAGCCGCCUCGCCCCCUCCGCGGCACCAUGUCCUUCUUCAGGCGGAAAGGUAGGGGGGCGCCGGCCGGGAGGCCCGCGGCUGAGGGGCGGCUGCCGGCCUCGUCCCCCGCGCGGCUGCUGGGCCCCGGCCCUGCCCCUCCGGCGACGGUGACCGGGCCCCGAGAGGAAGCUCGGCCCCUGAGGAGCGGGCUCCCCGCAAAUGACGUCAAAGGCAAAGAACAAGAAAAGACCACAGAUGUGAAAGCAAUUAAAACUCCAGUACCAGUACAUUCCCCUCAACGGAGCACUAGAAAUCAUGCCUUGCUGGAGGCUGCAGGACCAAGCCAUGUGGCAAUUAAUGCCAUCUCUGCCAACAUGGACUCUUUCUCUAGCAGUCGGACAGCUGCCCUUAAGAAGCAGCCAAGUCACAUGGAAGCUGCUCAUUUUGGAGACUUAGGCAGAUCGUGUCUGAAUUAUCAGGCCCAAGAGACCAAAUCAAGCCUUUCAAAGACCCUUGAACAAGUUCUGCAGGACAAUGUAGCCCUCCCUUAUUUUAUCCAGUUUAUGGAACUGCGCAGAAUGGAACACUUGGUUAAGUUUUGGUUAGAGGCUGAAAGCUUCCACUCCACAACAUGGUCCCGUAUAAGAGCCCAUAGCCUGAACACAGUUAAGCAGAGUUCGUUGGCAGAGCCAGUGUCGCCCUCGAAACAGCAGGAAAUUGCGUUGUCUUCUCCAACUGGAUUGCUUGAGGAGAGACUGGAGGAUUCUAGCACAGUCCAUCUGCUCAGGACCAAGCCAGUGGCUUCGACCAAGAACAACAGAACUAGCAACAGCCAGAACCACGUGCUCUUGGGUCAGGAGGGUGAUAAUACCAGUGUUCUUUGUCUAAGAAAACCUGAGACAGGGACUCGUUCUGUUCCAGCUGAUCAGCAAGAAUCUUCCAAGCUUACAGUAUCAAAUAGAAACAGCCCCUCCUCUGCACUAAAAGACUUGUCAGGAAAACUCAUGAAAAGUAUAGAACGGGAUGCAGUUAGUACUUUUACCAAAUAUAUUUCUCCAGAUGCUGCUAAACCAAUACCUAUAACAGAAGCAAUGAGAAAUGACAUAGUUGCAAAGAUUUGUGGGGAAGAUGGACAAGUGGACCCUAACUGCUUUGUUACAGCACAGUCAAUAGUGUUUAACGCAAUGGAACAAGAGCACUUUAGUGAGUUUUUGAGAAGUCAUCAUUUCUGUAAAUACCAGAUCGAGGUGCUGACUAGUGGGACUGUUUAUCUGGCUGACAUACUUUUCUGUGAAUCAGCCCUCUUCUAUUUCUCUGAGUACAUGGAGAAGGAAGAUGCAGUUAAUGUACUGCAGUUCUGGUUGGCAGCAGAUAACUUCCAGUCUCAACUUGCUGCCAAAAAAGGCCAGUAUGAUGGGCAAGAAGCACAGAAUGAUGCCAUGAUUUUAUAUGACAAGUACUUCUCCCUUCAAGCCACACAUCCUCUUGGGUUUGAUGACUCGGUGAGGUUAGAGAUCGAAUCCAACAUCUGCAGGGAAGGUGGUCCUCUCCCAAACUGUUUCACUACUCCCUUACGGCAGGCAUGGACUACCAUGGAGACGGUUUUUUUACCUGGUUUCUUGUCCAGCAACCUUUACUACAAAUACUUGAAUGAUCUCAUCCAUUCAGUACGAGGAGAUGAAUUUCCAGGAGGGAAUAUUGCACUGAGUAUUCAUGGCCCCAGUAGCUCUCCUGAUAACGAUUCCAUAGGGGGCCCGGAUGGCUCUGCCUCCCAGUCCAAUGUCAAAAAGGCUAAUGUUAAAAUCCUGAAAAAUUUUGAUGAAGCAAUAAUUGUAGAUGCUGCAAGUCUGGAUCCAGAAUCUUUAUAUCAGCGAACAUAUGCAGGGAAGAUGACGUUUGGACGAGUCAGUGACCUGGGGCAAUUUAUCAGAGAAUCUGAACCAGAGCCUGAUGUCAAAAAAUCAAAAGAUCUGUUUUAAGCCAAAUAGAGAUGUUAUGGGGACCGUCCUGUGCUGAGGCAAAACCCAUCUCUGGCUCAAUUUCCUAUCCAAAUUCUGCUUUUCUGGUCCAGCUGGACUCCUGGGAGUAUGAGCAGCCUGUGGGAGUUGGAGCUGUUGAUGGAACCUGGCAGGGAGGAAAGCUGCGAGCAGCUGAGGGGAUGAUCAAGCCUUCAAAGAUUGGGUCUUGAGAUGAAAAAGAACUUCAGCUCUCCACGUGCUUCCUGCUCAGUUUGGGAUCUGCUGUUAGUGCUGCUUGUCAGCUCUGGUAAAAAGGAAUGGUUGAGGCUCAGUGUCUCAUGAACCAUGGCUCCACAUAAUCCCUUGUCUUCCAUGCAACUCUUCCAUGUUGUCUAACAUCAGGAGUGCAAACUCUUUAGAAGGAUGAAAGGAGUUAGCUUUUAUAGAGCUGUGUCACAGACUUUGCUAAUGUGCCUUGCUUGCUGUUUUUUAUCUCAACUAGGGUCCAUGUUUUCACAAGCAAUGAAGAAAUGGGUUCAAGGAAACACAGAUGAGGCUCAAGAAGAGAUGGCUUGGAGGAUAGCGAAGAUGAUAGUCAAUGACGUUAUGCAGCAAGCGCAAUGCGAACAGCCUUCGGAGAAGGUUACGAAGCUAUGAUUUUAGAAACGCCAGAACAGGAAAUCUGUUUUUCCACUUCAAGAAUGAGUGAACUUUCCCUUUUGGUGGAUUCUUUAACACAGCCAAUAAAAACAAAGCACUGUUACUCCAACCGCCGAAAUCUCCCUCAUCUAGGAGGAAGAAUUAAAAAGAAGCAAUCCUGUACCUCCACUGUAGAGCGUGAAGAAACACUUUUUCCUGUUGUAUGUGGCAUUCACAAUAAUGAUGGUUUUUAGAGAUGAAGAUGCAGUUUAUGAAUGUGGCACUGAGAAACUGUGAUCAACUUCACAAAUACUUGACCCUGUCUCGAAAAGACUUUUAAGCAAAUUAUCUGGAAUGGGACACAAGCCACAACAGAGGGGAAGGUUUUGCUGUAGUUUCUAGUUCUACUACUUGUAAUUUUUAAACACAUAAUUGGAAAGGCCAUGGGGUGCAUCCCUGACGUUGGCCUCUGGAGAAGUGAACCUGAAACGGUGAAUUCAUUGGCAGUGAAUGACCUAAAAAGUUCUAAGUUUUAUUUUUCCUUACUUGAAAUAGAUGCGUAUUCAACUGUAAGAUAAAUGUGUUUUACUUCAUAACUACAUUAACUUUGAAGGCAGCGUAGAAGGAUUAGGAGCAAAGCCUGGACAGUGUAACUCUUUUCUUGUCAAGCUCAUGCACCUGCAUACACAAGUCCCCUGUUUCUGACAUGGAGCAGACACGAAAGCUGAUCUUGCACUUGUGCAGCUUCUGCUUCCGAGCCACGGCUCUGAAUGCAGGGUUGUGCUCUGUAGACUGCUCCAUUUCCUUUCCUCUCCAUCCCACGAGCAAGGAAAAAAAGUAAUCGCUGCCAUUCUCCAUAGCUUGUCCUCCAACAACACACUAUCUAAUUCCAGAUGUUUGGUUUACAAAGCAAAACAAUUUUUAAAGACCUCUGGCCUUCUUCCUGACUUGCAAAACCUUUAGUUUAAGUAAAAAAGCCACUGUGUUACACAGCACCUCCAUUAUGUUUUUUUCCAAUGACUUGAUUUUUGCAGGGUGUCAGAAGUACUCAGUGUCUCGCUGUUAUGUUACUACUGCAUUUUUAGUAUACAACACUUCUGGUUUGGGUUUUACUGUUUAUGAUUGCUUUUUUCCUCAAACUUGUGCAAAAAAAAAAACAACCACUUUGCAAAGAACUCGAAUCAUCUCUAAUACUCGGAAUAUCUUGAUUGAUGAGCAAGUGUUAUUCUGUUGCAAUAUUCGAUUGUCUAGAGACACUGUAUUGUCUAUAAAAAAG